GACGAACGCUGGCGGCGUGCCUAACACAUGCAAGUCGAACGAAGCAUAGUAAUAUGCUUAGUGGCGGACGGGUGAGUAACGCGUGAACAAUCUGCCCUGUACAAAGGAAUAGCCUCGGGAAACUGGGAUUAAAACCAUAUAACACUUUAGUACCGCAUGGUACAGAAGUCAAAUUGAUUAAGAGGUAUAGGAUGAGUUCGCGUCUGAUUAGCUAGUUGGUAAGGUAACGGCUUACCAAGGCGACGAUCAGUAGCCGGCCUGAGAGGGUGAACGGCCACACUGGAACUGAGACACGGUCCAGACUCCUACGGGAGGCAGCAGUGGGGAAGU
rnacentral:rRNA from 1 species